rnacentral:rRNA from 1 species
UACGGAGGGUGCGAGCGUUGUCCGGAAUCAUUGGGCGUAAAGGGCGCGUAGGUGGCCCGGUCAGUCUUUGGUGAAAGCGCGGGGCUCAACCCUGCGUCGGCCAGGGAUACUGCCGCGGCUCGAGCACUGUAGAGGCAGGCGGAAUUCCGGGUGUAGCGGUGGAAUGCGUAGAGAUCCGGAAGAACACCGGUGGCGAAGGCGGUUAGCUGGGCAGUUGCUGACACUGAGGCGCGACAGCGUGGGGAGCAAACAGG